rnacentral:rRNA from 1 species
CCUACGGGAGGCAGCAGUGGGGAAUCUUGCACAAUGGGGGAAACCCUGAUGCAGCGACGCCGCGUGAGCGAUGAAGCCCCUCGGGGUGUAAAGCUCUUUCGGCAGGGACGAUAAUGACGGUACCUGCAGAAGAAGCUGCGGCUAACUACGUGCCAGCAGCCGCGGUAAUACGUAGGCAGCAAGCGUUGUUCGGAAUUACUGGGCGUAAAGCGUGCGUAGGCGGUUGGCCAAGUUUGGUGUGAAAUCUCCCGGCUCAACUGGGAGGGUGCGCCGAAAACUGGCCGGCUAGAGUGCGGGAGAGGGAAGUGGAAUUCCUGGUGUAGCGGUGAAAUGCGUAGAUAUCAGGAGGAACACCUGUGGUGUAGACGGCUUCCUGACCGUGACUGACGCUGAGGCACGAAAGCGUGGGGAGCAAACAGGAUUAGAUACCCUGGUAGU